rnacentral:rRNA from 1 species
CCCGCUGAACUUAAGCAUAUCAGUAAGCGGAGGAAAAGAAACUAACAAGGAUUCCCCUAGUAGCGGCGAGCGAAGAGGGAGUAGCCCAUAACCGAAUCCCAUGUCGUUAAGACAUUGGGAAAUGUGGUGUUGGGGUGGUUUCUUGCUGUGUCUUUGGCAGUUCAAAGUCCGCGUGAUUGUGGCUCAUGGCCCAAGGAGGGUGUAAGGCCCGUGUGGACUGUCGGAGUGCGGCUCGAAGCUACUCAAGAGUCGGGUUGUUUGGGAAUGCAGCCCUAAUCGGGUGGUAAACUCCAUCCAAGGCUACAUAUAACACGAGUCCGAUAGCGAACAAGUACCGUGAGGGAAAGUUGAAAAGGACUUUGAAGAGAGAGUUCAAUAGUGCGUGAAACCGCUCAAAGGUAAUCGGGUGGAGCUGAAGUUGACUCGGUGAUUGAUGUCUUCUGGCAUGUGCUUCCUGUGUUAGACUUGUUUAUUGAGCGAUUCACAGUGCAAGUGGGUAUUGCCGGUUGGCUGUUUUCACUGAGUUGUAACCACGAUCGGCGAUGCGUCGCGUCUGCUGUCACCGAGAAGGUAGCGAUGGCCCUUCGGGGUGAUCGUGUUAUAGACCUGAGGCGUGGACUGAUGCGUUGCUGUGCUUGGCGAGACAGGCCCCUCAGUUGGGCGCGCAUAGGUGUUUGCUUUGAUGCCCUGGGCGAGGUACUCCUUUGGAGUGUCUUGCUGAGUGGUGUCGAUGGUGGACGCCUCCCUGCAGUCACUGUUCUCAACAAUCUGUGGUGUCCAGUAGGUCAUCCACCUGACCCGUCUUGAAACACGG